UACGUAGGGUGCAAGCGUUGUUCGGAAUUACUGGGCGUAAAGCGCGCGUAGGCGGGCUUGUAUGUCGAUUGUGAAAGCCCUGGGCUCAACCCGGGAAUGGCAGUCGAAACUGCAAGUCUUGAGUACCUAAGAGGAUGGCGGAAUUCCCGGUGUAGAAGUGAAAUUCGUAGAGAUCGGGAAGAACACCUGAGGCGAAGGCGGCUAUCUGGUGGUGUACUGACGCUGAAGUGCGAAAGCGCGGGGAGCAAACAGG
rnacentral:rRNA from 1 species